rnacentral:lncRNA from 1 species
UUUGAGAAGCUAAUUAAUAAAUCCAUCAAUACUAUAUAUACUUGAGUUCUCUUAAUUAAAAUGACCAGCUACACAAUUGCAAAAUAUAUCACACUCCUAUAUAUAUAUAGAGAGAGAGAGAGAGAGAGAGAGUCGAGAGAGAGAUCAAUAAUAAUAAUUAAGCGAUGAAUUAUAACAAAGUACAGAAGAAACUCAAGGAUCGCCACGUUCACGCCAGCAGACAAGCAUUGCAAUGCAACGGCGGAGGAUGUAGAAUUUUGCACGCUGCUUCUUCACAAGAUGACUGCACUUCUGACCGAAAGAUCUACAAGGGUCGCACGAAUUUUGAUUAGUAUUAUCAGCAAAGCUUGUGUUUUUCUCCUUACCUGCCAUGAAUAAAUUAAAGCUACUAGCUAGCUAGUGUUACUGCUGCUAUUAGCUAGCAGAAAGGUAAGAGGAGGAAGAGCUUAAUUGGUUGAAUUUGUAAAGGAUAUGAGUUUGGUUUGGUCUAUUAGGUUAUAUUGUAGAAUAUGGCUGCCUCUUUGUGUGUCU